rnacentral:rRNA from 1 species
GAUAAACGCUGGCGGCGUGCCUAACACAUGCAAGUCGAACGUCCUUGCUCGCAAGAGCGAGGGAGUGGCGCACGGGUGAGUAACACAUGGGUCACCUACCCCCAAGUGAGGAAUACCGACGAGAAAUCGUCGACAAGACCGCAUACGCUCUCUCUGACUGAGAAGAGGGGAGAGCAAAGCCUUUCGCAAGAGAGGCGCUUGAGGAUGGGCCUGUGGCCGAUUAGCUGGUUGGUGGGGUAAUGGCUCACCAAGGCGACGAUCGGUAGCUGGUCUGAGA